rnacentral:rRNA from 1 species
AUUGAACGCUGGCGGCAUGCUUUACACAUGCAAGUCGAACGGCAGCGCGGGCUUCGGCCUGGCGGCGAGUGGCGAACGGGUGAGUAAUUCAUCGGAACGUGCCCAGUAGUGGGGGCUAGCCCGGCGAAAGCCGGCUUAAUACCGCAUACGACCUGAGGGUGAAAGCGGGGGACCGAAAGGCCUCGCGCUAUUUGAUCGGCCGAUGUCGGAUUAGCUCGUUGGUGGGGUAAAGGCUUACCAAGGCGACGUUCCGUAGCUGGUCUGAGAGGCCGACCAGCCACACUGGGACUGAGACACGGCCCAGAAUCCUAAGGGAGGCAGCAGUGGGGAAUUUUGGACAAUGGGGGCAACCCUGAUCCAGCCAUGCCGCGUGCGGGAAGAAGGCCUUCGGGUUGUAAACCGCUUUUGUUCGGGAAGAAAUACUCUGGGCUAAUACCCCGGGGGGAUGACGGUACCGGAAGAAUAAGCACAGGCUAAAUACGUG